rnacentral:rRNA from 1 species
UACGUAGGUGGCAAGCGUUGUCCGGAUUUACUGGGCGUAAAGAGCGCGCAGGCGGUCGUUUAAGUCGAAUGUGAAAGCCCCCGGCUCAACUGGGGAGGGUCAUUCGAUACUGAUCGACUUGAAGGCAGGAGAGAGAAGUGGAAUUCCCGGUGUAGUGGUGAAAUGCGUAGAUAUCGGGAGGAACACCAGUGGCGAAGGCGACACACUGGCUCACUACUGACGCUGAGGCGCGAAAGCGUGGGGAGCAAAC